GAUGAAGAACGUAGCGAAAUGCGAUAAGUAGUGUGAAUUGCAGAAUUCAGUGAAUCAUCGAAUCUUUGAACGCACAUUGCGCCCCUUGGUAUUCCAUGGGGCAUGCCUGUUCGAGCGUCAUUUGUACCCUCAAGCUUUGCUUGGUGUUGGGUGUUUGUCCCGCGUUGCGCGUGGACUCGCCUUAAAGCGAUUGGCAGCCGGCAUAUUGGCCUUGGAGCGCAGCACAUUUUGCGCUUCUAGUCAUGAAUGUUGGCGUCCAUUAAGCCUAUACAUUUGCUAUUGACCUCGGAUCAGGUAGGGAUACCCGCUGAACUUAAGCAUAUCAAUAAGCGGAGGA
rnacentral:misc_RNA from 1 species